rnacentral:sRNA from 1 species
AAAAACUGUAUUCUGUGGCUGCUAGUGGCUGCUGCUUUGCAUUUAACACUAUUCUCCUGAACACAGUUGAUCUCUCUACAGGUUAUUUCAGCAGAAGCCCUGGUCCAGGAGAGUCUAUGAAGUUCCAGCUUACGCCAGACAUGACCAGCAUCCAGAGAGAACUGAAAGAAGCUUGAAUCCUCUCACUAGAAUCCCUGCAAAAUGACUCAUGUAAUUGCUCUGUGGGGAUUAUUUCCAAACCAGCAGUCACAGGAACAUGCUGCUUUUAGAUUUGCUUUGUCGCAACUCACAGAGCCCCCGAAGCUGCUCCCCCAGAUUGAUAUUGUGAACAUCAGCGACAGCUUUGAGAUGACCUAUAGAUUCUGUUCCCAGUUCUCCAAAGGAGUCUAUGCCAUCUUUGGGUUUUAUGAACGUAGGACUGUCAACAUGCUGACCUCCUUUUGUGGGGCCCUCCACGUCUGCUUCAUUACGCCGAGCUUUCCCGUUGAUACAUCCAAUCAGUUUGUCCUUCAGCUGCGCCCUGAACUUCAGGAUGCCCUCAUCAGCAUCAUUGACCAUUACAAGUGGCAGAAAUUUGUCUACAUUUAUGAUGCCGACCGGGGCUUAUCCGUCCUGCAGAAAGUCCUGGACACAGCUGCCGAGAAGAACUGGCAGGUGACAGCAGUCAACAUUUUGACAACCACAGAGGAGGGAUACCGGAUGCUCUUUCAGGACCUGGAGAAGAAAAAGGAGCGGCUGGUGGUGGUGGACUGUGAAUCAGAACGCCUCAAUGCUAUCUUGGGCCAGAUUAUAAAGCUGGAGAAGAAUGGCAUCGGCUACCACUACAUUCUUGCAAAUCUGGGUUUCAUGGACAUUGACUUAAACAAAUUCAAGGAGAGUGGCGCCAAUGUGACAGGUUUCCAGCUGGUGAACUACACAGACACUAUUCCAGCCAAGAUCAUGCAGCAGUGGAAGAAUAGUGAUGCUCGAGACCACACACGGGUGGACUGGAAGAGACCCAAGUACACCUCGGCGCUCACCUACGAUGGAGUGAAGGUGAUGGCUGAGGCUUUCCAGAGCCUGCGGAGGCAGAGAAUUGAUAUAUCUCGCCGGGGAAAUGCUGGGGAUUGUCUGGCUAACCCAGCUGUUCCCUGGGGCCAAGGGAUCGACAUCCAGAGAGCUCUGCAGCAGGUGCGAUUUGAAGGUUUGACAGGAAACGUGCAGUUUAAUGAGAAAGGACGCCGGACCAACUACACGCUCCACGUGAUUGAAAUGAAACAUGACGGCAUCCGAAAGAUUGGUUACUGGAAUGAAGAUGAUAAGUUUGUCCCUGCAGCCACCAAUGCCCAAGCUGGGGGCGAUAAUUCAAGUGUUCAGAACAGAACAUACAUCGUCACAACAAUCCUAGAAGAUCCUUAUGUGAUGCUCAAGAAGAACGCCAAUCAGUUUGAGGGCAAUGACCGUUACGAGGGCUACUGUGUAGAGCUGGCGGCAGAGAUUGCCAAGCACGUGGGCUACUCCUACCGUCUGGAGAUUGUCAGUGAUGGAAAAUACGGAGCCCGAGACCCUGACACAAAGGCCUGGAAUGGCAUGGUGGGAGAGCUGGUCUAUGGAAGAGCAGAUGUGGCUGUGGCUCCCUUAACUAUCACUUUGGUCCGAGAAGAAGUUAUAGAUUUCUCCAAACCAUUUAUGAGUUUGGGGAUCUCCAUCAUGAUUAAAAAACCACAGAAAUCCAAGCCGGGUGUCUUCUCCUUCCUUGAUCCUUUGGCUUAUGAGAUUUGGAUGUGCAUUGUUUUCGCCUACAUUGGAGUGAGUGUUGUCCUCUUCCUGGUCAGCCGCUUCAGUCCCUAUGAAUGGCACAGUGAAGAGUUUGAGGAAGGACGGGACCAGACAACAAGUGACCAGUCCAAUGAGUUUGGGAUAUUCAACAGUUUGUGGUUCUCCCUGGGAGCCUUCAUGCAGCAAGGAUGUGACAUUUCUCCCAGGUCAGUCAGCUCUUUUCAAUCCCUUUGCCUAAUGCUAUGGUUUUGUUUUUGUUUGUUUGUUUGUUUUUUAAAUACUGGAAAGUAAAGAGAUGAAUUAUUUCAG